CCUACGGGAGGCAGCAGUGAGGACUAUUGGUCAAUGGCCGGACGGCUGAACCAGCCAAGCCGCGUGAAGGACGACGGUGCCAAGCAUUGUAAACUUCUUUUGUCAAGGGACAACAUCAGGCUCGAGAGCCUGACCGAGGGUACUUGAAGAAAAAGCAUCCGCUAACUCCGUGCCAGCAGCCCCGGUAAUACGGAGGCUGCGAGCUUUAUCCGGAUUUAUUUGGUUUAAAGGGUGCGUAGGCGGACUGUUAAGUUAGCGGUAAAAGCCCGGGGCCCAACCCCGGCGAGCCGUUGAACCUGGCUGUCUUGAGAUGUCGAGAGGUAUGCGGAAUGCGCAGUGUAGCGGGGAAAUGCUUAGAUAUUGCGCAGAACUCCGAUUGCGAAGGAAGCAUACCGGCGGCGAUCUGACGCUGAGGCACGAAAGCGUGGGUAUCGAACAGGAUUAGAUACCCUUGUAGUC
rnacentral:rRNA from 1 species